AGCUCUGACUUAGUAAUUGCUAUUGAUGCAUUUUUCAAUUAAGAGUGAAAGGAGUUAGACUCGGAAUUUAGUCAGUGGGCUCCAAAUUAAACUUGGUCCAGUGGAACUACCUGAAAGAAAAAUACAGGAGUCAGCAAGAAAAAGCCAAGUGGAGAACCUGACUUUAGAGUUAUGGCCCAAUACGAGUGGGGCAUGGGCCAGAAUAUACCCUCUCUGCUGGCUGGUCGAUCUGAAAAGAGGAGAGGACAGGGCAGCAUGCUCUCCCUUCUCAAAAUCUGAACACAGCUCUCUCCUCUUCCCUCUAAGAAGAGUGAGUAAAGGUUGGGAGAUAGGCCAGGAAGACUGGUCCAGCUGAAGUCCCUCCACAUGAUGCAUGGCAGUGGGGAAUAAGGAAUCCCUUCACAGUGGGGCAGGAGGAGGUAAUGUCUAAUUCGUACGAUCGUUAUGGAGGGGUGGAAACCACAGAGCACACGUCAAGCAGUUUAUGCACUACCUGGCACACACGUGGCGGGUGCUCUACCAUCAGUCUGAUGGAAGACUGU
ensembl:lncRNA STX18-IT1 STX18 intronic transcript 1